rnacentral:rRNA from 1 species
CAGGUGGUGCAUGGUUGUCGUCAGCUCGUGUCGUGAGAUGUUGGGUUAAGUCCCGCAACGAGCGCAACCCUCGCCUCUAGUUGCCAGCAUCGGUUGGGCACUCUAGAGGGACUGCCGGCGACAAGUCGGAGGAAGGUGGGGAUGACGUCAAAUCAUCAUGCCCCUUAUGACCUGGGCUACACACGUGCUACAAUGGGCGGUACAAAGGGCUGCGAACCCGCGAGGGGGAGCGAAUCCCAAAAAGCCGCUCUCAGUUCGGAUUGCAGGCUGCAACUCGCCUGCAUGAAGCCGGAAUCGCUAGUAAUCGCGGAUCAGCAUGCCGCGGUGAAUACGUUCCCGGGCCUU